CCUACGGGUGGCUGCAGUGGGGAAUAUUGCACAAUGGGGGAAACCCUGAUGCAGCAACGCCGCAUGAGUGAAGAAGUAUUUCGGUAUGUAAAGCUCUAUCAGCAGGGAAGAAGAUGCCGGUACCUGAAUACGAAUCCCCGGCUCACUACGUGCCAGCAGCCGCGGUACUACGGAGGGGGCCAGCGUUAUCCGGAUUUACUGGGUGUAAAGGGAGCGCAGACGGCAGGGCAAGUCUGGAGUGAAAGCCCGGGGCCCAACCCCGGAACUGCUCUGGAAACUGGGCGGCUAGAGUACUGGAGGGGCAGGCGGAAUUCCUAGUGUAGCGGUGAAAUGCGUAGAUAGUAGGAGGAACACCAGUGGCGAAGGCGGCAUGCUGGACAGUAACUGACGUUGAGGCUCGAAAGCGUGGGGAGCAAACAGGAUUAGAUACCCCUGUAGUC
rnacentral:rRNA from 1 species